rnacentral:rRNA from 1 species
UACAGAGGUCUCAAGCGUUGUUCGGAUUCAUUGGGCGUAAAGGGUGUCGUAGGCGGCGCGGUAAGUCGGGUGUGAAAUUUCGGAGCUUAACUCCGAAACUGCAUUCGAUACUGGCGUGCUUGAGGACUGGAGAGGAGACUGGAAUUCAUGGUGUAGCAGUGAAAUGCGUAGAGAUCAUGAGGAAGACCAGUGGCGAAGGCGGGUCUCUGGACAGUUCCUGACACUGAGACACGAAGGCCAGGGGAGCAAACGGG